AGGGGAGUGAUUCAGACGGGCUGUCAAGACCUCCGCCUUCAACACACUGGGCUGAGCGACUGGAUAUUUUCCAACCCCCAGCAGCUCAUUUUCUGGUGCUGCAGCCAGGAAUGUAUAGGCCUUCUUGGUGGCUGCUCCCUGGCUCUGGAACUCUCUUUCAAAGGAGAAGAAGGUGGAUGUCUCCAUGUCGUCCUUCUGAGGGCAGGAAAGAGAGCUGGUGAACCAGCCGUUAAAAGGACCCC